rnacentral:rRNA from 1 species
CCUACGGGUGGCUGCAGUGAGGAAUAUUGGUCAAUGGCCGAGAGGCUGAACCAGCCAAGUCGCGUGAGGGAAGACGGCCCUACGGGUUGUAAACCUCUUUUGUCGGGGAGCAAAGAGAGUCACGUGUGACUCAUUGAGGGUACCCGAAGAAAAAGCAUCGGCUAACUCCGUGCCAGCAGCCGCGGUAAUACGGAGGAUGCGAGCGUUAUCCGGAUUUAGUGGGUUUAAAGGGUGCGCAGGCGGAGGUGCAAGUCAGCGGUAAAAUUGCGGGGCUCAACCCCGUACUGCCGUUGAAACUGCAUCCCUUGAGUGCGCGAGAAGUAUGCGGAAUGCGUGGUGUAGCGGUGAAAUGCAUAGAUAUCAGGAGGAAUACCGUUAGCGAAGGCAGCAAUCUGGCUGGAGACUGACGCUGAGGUGCGAAAGCGUGGGUAGCAAACAGGAUUAGAUACCCUAGUAGUC